UUUCAAUGACUAACAACCUUCUCAUUUUAUUUUUUUUUCUCGUUGCUAUGCACCGUGUCACCAACAAUCCAUGCACUUUUUAUUGUUCUUCACUUAACGAUUGCAUCGCUCGCAAAGAAGGGAUUAGGGAGUGGAUCAACGGUUUUUCUCGAUAAGAGAUGGCAAUGAUUCUGUUCCAUGAUCCGAGAAUUUGGGUACUUGGAUCUUUAUUACCGUGUGGAAGAGGUUGUUCUUUUGCUUCAUAUCCUGGUGUUUGGUUUCACUUCAGGCGGCGCUUGUGAAUUGAAAGCUGAGCGGUGGGGAGGAGACGUAUUUCGUUGGCUUGGCCCGAGCUUGCUUUGAAGGAGCAAUAUUCUUCUGGGAGGUAGGCAGCCCUAUUCUCGCAUGUGGAGUGGUUGUUUCUAUAUUUCAAAUGCAUUAUAUCCAAAUUACAAUGGAUCAACAUUAUCAUUGCACCAAAAUCUAUCUUAUACGCACAUGCAUGAUUUGC